GUGCCAGCAGCCGCGGUAAUACGUAGGUGGCAAGCGUUGUCCGGAAUUAUUGGGCGUAAAGCGCGCGCAGGCGGUCCUUUAAGUCUGAUGUGAAAGCCCACGGCUCAACCGUGGAGGGUCAUUGGAAACUGGGGGACUUGAGUGCAGAAGAGGAAAGCGGAAUUCCACGUGUAGCGGUGAAAUGCGUAGAGAUGUGGAGGAACACCAGUGGCGAAGGCGGCUUUCUGGUCUGUAACUGACGCUGAGGCGCGAAAGCGUGGGGAGCAAACAGGAUUAG
rnacentral:rRNA from 1 species